CCACUGCUGGUUGGUGUGUUAGUUACAGAGGAACAUAGCCGCACUCAAUGGCAGAUAGUGUUCAUCAUAUCUUCGGUCAUUUUCUUCUCCGGUAAUUUGUUCUACCUAGUCUUCGGCAGAAUGGAACUACAGCCUUGGGACAAUCCGGAUUUCUUGCGGUCUAAAAGCGUGAUUGACGUCAAACCACCAGCGGAAAAGAGUGAGAAGUCGGUGAUGCAGCAAAAA